UCUGCCUGGUAGUGGGGGACGAACGUUUCGAAAGGAACGCUAAUACCGCAUACGUCCUACGGAGAAGCAGGGACCUUCGGGCCUUGCGCUAUCAGAUGAGCCUAGGUCGGAUUAGCUAGUUGGUGAGGUAAUGGCUCACCAAGGCGACGAUCCGUAACUGGUCUGAGAGGAUGAUCAGUCACACUGGAACUGAGACACGGUCCAGACUCCUACGGGAGGAGCAGCC
rnacentral:rRNA from 1 species